AUACUACUCCCUCCGUCUGGAAAUACUUGUCCGAGGAAUGGAUGUAUCUAGAUGUAUUUUAAUUCUAGAUACAUCUAUUUAUAUCCAUUUUGACGACAAGUAUUUCCGAACGGAGGGAGUAGUAA
rnacentral:pre_miRNA from 1 species